AUGCACCGCCGCCUCGGCCUCGCCACCGCGGCCACUGCACUCCGGCGGUUCUGCAGCCACCGCCCGCCUCCGCCACCGGACCGGCGGCUCGCCUUCCUACGCUCGGAGCUCGAAGACCUAGACCUCUCCCGCGCACCAGCACAACCGCCGCCCCGGGAGCAAUGGCAAGUGACCCAAGAGCCAGGAGGCGGCGGCGCUCGCGCGGGGGACAAGCCGGUGGCCGUGGACAUCGCCCACCCGUGGCCGGAGUGGGUGGCGCUGAUGGAGCUCCUCCUCCGUAAGGGCCACCUCGACCCCUCCGCCUUCGCCGGGGCCGCGCCGUCCAAGGACUCCAACCUCGUCCGCACCGCCUGCCUCCGCUUCGGGCGCGAUCGUCCGGAGAUCGUCAGGUAUCUGUCAAGAUGGGAUAUUCAGGUCGCUCUGCGUGGUGGGUGCCCUAGCAUUGACAGGAAAGUUAUUAAUUCUGGGAAGCGAUUGCGUGCUCAUGUAGGACUUGAUGAGGGAGAGGUUUGCAGCCAAUGCAAUUUAAGGGGAAGUUGUGAGAGGGCAUAUGUAAGGGCUCGUAAAGAGGAAGUGGGCAGAACUGUGGAUGUUAUGCGCAUCCUCCUGACUUAUGGUCUUGAUAUCAUUACUGGUAAUGUGGGGAACAAAGCAUGCCUAAACAAAACUGUUAAAGAAUCCAUUAAGAAACUACUGAAUGAGGUUGUUGAGCUCGACUCCAAGGGGCCUGGUUCCACAACUGAUAAAGCUGCACAACGUAUACCAAAAGGUCAAUCUGCUGUACCUGUGAAGCAGGGUGACUGGAAUUGUCCCAAAUGCAACUUCCUUAACUUUGCAAAGAAUAUCAAAUGUUUGCGCUGUGAUGGUGAAUUUCAAGAGAGAUAUCACUUGAUGCAUGAGGACCAAGAUCAUCUACCCCUCAAAAAAGGUGACUGGAUUUGCAAAAGGUGCAACUUCUUGAAUUUUGCGAAGAAUACACGGUGCUUGCAGUGUCAUGACAAACCAACAAACCGUUUACUCAGUCCAGGAGAAUGGGAGUGUGCCUCGUGUAACUACCUGAACUUCAAGAGGAACGCGUUCUGCUUGAAAUGUGGUUGGAAAAGACCAAAAGCAUUAAACGACCAAGACACUAUCGAACCACACCGUGAUCUGGAGCAGAAUAAGCACCCCGCUAUUUCAUUCGUUCAAGAUGGCAUCCAGCCGACAUUGCGAAAGCGACAACUUGUGCAAAAAAGGGCCCCACUAUCUGAUGAAGAUUCAGAUUUCUGGAGCUCGGAGGAGGCAGACGACGAUGACGACAAUGAGAACAGCAUGCUCCCAAUGCACAGGGACUACAAAUUCCUCGACAGUUUCCCCAUUGUCGGGGGCAGGACUGCCACUUCCCAAGAACCUCUGGAGAGGGAAAAAUGGAAGGAAGAGAUGUCCAGGGGGGAGCAGGGGCUUCCAGGAGAGGCAUCAGAAGAAAGUAAUCGCUCCUCCCCUCGUGUUCCCAGAAGCAUGGAGAUGAUCGAGGACGACGACGACGACGACGAUAUCUCAUCAUGGUUUUCUGGUGCGAACAGUAGUAGAAACCUGAAAAAGUAG
rnacentral:rRNA from 1 species